UUCCUGUGGCCUUGCAGCAGCUCCAAAAUGUUUAAUAUGUUACCAGGGGGGGGGAGUUGGCUUAAAAUAACAAAAACAAACAAAACCCCCAAAACACCAAGUUGGCCACUAGAAGGCACAAGGGAGCGUCUAAAAAUUAAAAAAAAAAUACAUUUAUAAGAAAAGUUGAGUGGGAGUCAUGGAACUAGGUGGAGACCUCUCAAGAUGAGGGAUAUGGAUGUGUGACCUCUGAGACUGCCUACUUCAAUGUGUGCUAAUUAAAUCAACAUGUAAACAAAUUCUGUCUUGUAUAAUUUGAUUCUAAUCACGGAGGUGCUUGUAGAACGUUAUGGCCUUAAGAUGGCAUUACUCCAAGAAAAGGAGAGAAGAUGCAGAUUCAUCCUAUUUAUGUGAAACUCGUGGAUGUAAAUGAGUCUUCUUGCUCCCAGAUACAACUGCCUGGUUCACCGCUUUAGCAGAACAGCAGAGCUUAGGCUAAACUUUAGCAGACAUGAACAGCCAAUUAAGGCGGUUUAGGACAUGCUGCCCAGUUACUCAGGAUCCCAUGACCUGCAAAGCUGAUGCUGUAGCCUUUGCUCAGGAGUAAUUAACACUACUUCUGCAAGGAAGAGGGCAGUGUUGUUACCACUCCUGUCCACAGAGGGAGAGUGACUUUCUGGAGUUUACGGGGCCCAUCGAGGGUUUUGUUGGUAAAACUGCCCAACUCUUCUCCAAGAAAAUUGUUUUAAAAUACUACAGGGUCCUAUCAGAAAUAUUAACAGUUUUUGUAACUGCAGCUUGUGUCUGAUACUGUUCUUAUUUACAUCAACUAUUCGUUUCCUCCAUAAGGUGUGCUGUUGCUUUCUGUGGGUCUGCUCGCAGAGCAGUUUCAGAGGGUCGACUAGAACCUCAAGCAGUCAGAUUCACUCCUGCGGAGCAAGAAAUCCCUGCCAUGUGGCUAAAGCAAUGCAUUCGCCUUUACAGAUUCUGAUUCUGGGAUAUGUGCACCUUUUAUAGUAGCAAGAAUAUUUCAGUUUUUCCAAGAAAGAAACAGAUGUUCAAUUUCUCCAUGAUUCCUCUCUAGGAAGCUUCUGUUUAACAGCUCUCCUCCCCAUGUCCAGGAUUUGAGACAUGAGUGCAGCUGGCUACCAGAGCUUUGAUGCUUGUGAUAAAGGUGGGCAAUCUCAAUGGAGCCUCAUCAGAGAGGCUGGAGAGAUGAGCAGACUGUGCCCAAUUAAAUGUGAAGGAAGUCUCAGUCAAAGAAAUAGGGUGAGAAAUUGAAGAUUUCCUUGAUCAGUUGACUUAGGGCUCAACAAUAUGUCAUAAUACUCCCCUUUUUACAUCAGGUUUAGCACGUUUGAAAUCAAAUAGAAAAUUUCCAACUACAGUGCACAAUGUAUAGCUAAGCAUACAUUUUCCAGCUAGAAAACAGGUUUUUUAAAAAACACCAAUGUGUGGAUUCUUUAUUUUAAAUCAAUUCUUCUCUCUCUCUCUCUCUCUCUCUCUCUCUCUCUCUCAACUCGUUUGUCAUGUGUGACUGUCUGUGGCAGAGCAAAUAAUGUUUGUGAGUUCUGCAGGAUUUUCCGAAUUUCAGGUGUCAAGUGCAAUGGCUAUCCUGCAGUGUGAACCGUUCCUUUAAACCCCCCCCAUGUGUUGCAUUUUAGCAUUGCAUUGAUCUAGCACUAUGCCACUUCAAAACUUAUAUUAAACAAAUAAAAUAUUAAAAGACAAUUUAGAUCA
ensembl:lncRNA